GGACAAGUCACGAGACAAGUAACACAAAGAAAGCUCCAAGAAUCUGUCGACUUUCUGAGAAUCCAAAGGUCAGAAGAUCGCCAUGGCAGUCACAGCAUUCAACACAUUGAGACUUGUAUCGUCUUCUCUAGAUUCGAUUCCUUCAAUCUCUUUUUCUACUUCUUAUUCGUUAUCUCUGAUCAGCGUCGGUGGCAUCACAUGUUCUGAUGUCAAAAGAUGUCUAAAGCACACAUGUUCUGUCCGAGCCAUGUCUUCUUCUUCUUCUUCGGCUGCUUCGUCUUCUACCUUCGGAUCAAGAAUGGAGGAGAGCGUGAAGAAAACGGUGACUGAGAACGUUGUCGUUGUUUACUCCAAAACAUGGUGCUCAUACUGUAUUGAAGUGAAGACAUUGUUCAAGAGACUUGGAGUUCAGCCAUUGGUGAUCGAAUUGGAUGAACUUGGUCCACAAGGGCCACAACUGCAGAAGGUACUGGAAAGACUUACUGGACAACGCACUGUUCCUAAUGUGUUUGUUGGAGGCAAGCACAUUGGUGGCUGCACAGAUACAGUGAAGCUGAAGAGGAAGGGAGAUCUGGCAUUGAUGUUAGCUGAAGCCAACGGUAAAACCGAUCAGACUUUAAGGAAGUGAUGAAACUGGUUUGGAGAUUUUGCAUGUGAAUUCUUGGAAGAGUUUUUUAACUACUUUCUCUCUCUCUCUGUCUCUUAUUUUCAAGCCUGUAAAGUGAUCCACAAGUUACAACAACAACAACAAGAACAAUUUUUUUUUUUGUAAAUUUCAUUUUAGUUUACCUUAAAAAGGUAAUGAAGCUUUUUGCUUGUAAAUGACCCAGUUCAGAAGUAAGCAGACGCAAGUGGUCAGGCCCUCUAGGGAUGAGGAUCGAAGGGAACACUUAAAUUAUAUAGCUGGUCAUGUGGAUUAUAUGAAAGAAGCGUGUAAGAGAAGUAAAGAGAUUAUACAAGGGCUUGUUAAGAGAGGUGUUGUUGUGGUGGCUUUUGCUUCGUAUGGGAAGAAAGAAGCCUGUUUUGGAGUUGUAAGAGACUGACAUUGCGGAUGAAGAGAUAAGCUAGAGAAAGAGGAGGUUGUGGCGUGUGUCUCAAGAUUUUAUCUCAGAAUGGGAAAUUUAAGAACCGUUCGACAUAAAGAGUAGUAACUCAUGAGUUGAAAGAAUCAAGUGUGUAAGUGUUCUUGAUUAGUUUCUUUUCUUGACAGAGUUGGUUAGAUGAGCACAAGAACCUUGCUGGUGUUGCUAAUAGAUUUGAAACCGGUUUAAACUGAAUCUUGCAUCAGUUCUUAAGCUGAAUGUGAGUGUGAUUUUAGGUAUUUA